rnacentral:lncRNA from 1 species
UAUGGGCGCCAAAACCAUAAACCUCAAUACCCCGUCCGGUAUGAGGGUGAAACGGGCCGUCCCCAUACCCCGUCCGGUAUGGGCGCCAAAACCAUAAGAUCUCCAUACCCCGUCCGGCAUGUGAGACCACAAUCCCGGUAGGGUUCCCUACAGACCCGGUCCGUCCACCAUCUCCCAGGAUAUCUAGUCAGGCUGACCCCAUAAUAC